AACGUAGGAGGCGAGCGUUAUCCGGAUUUACUGGGCGUAAAGCGCGUGCAGGCGGUCCUGCAAGUCAUGCGUGAAAGCUCCCUGGCUCAACCGGGAGAGGUCGUGUGAAACUGCGGGACUUGAGGCAGAGAGAGGCGAGUGGAAUUCCGGGUGUAGUGGUGAAAUGCGUAGAUAUCCGGAGGAACACCAGUGGCGAAGGCGGCUCGCUGGCUCGGUACUGACGCUCAGACGCGAAAGCAUGGGGAGCGAACGGG
rnacentral:rRNA from 1 species